rnacentral:rRNA from 1 species
GACGAACGCUGGCGGCGUGCUUAACACAUGCAAGUCGAACGGAAAGGCCCUGCUCUUGUGCGGUUCUCGAGAGCCGAAAGGGGGUGUAUCACGCGAGUAGCCUGCCCUUGACUUUGGGGUAACUUCAGGAAACUCGGGCUAAUAUCCCAUAUGAGCUCCUUCUACAUGGGGGGGGUUGUAAAGAUUCGGCGUUGCGGGAUGGACUGACGGCUUAUCAUCUUGUUGGUUGGGUAGUGGCUUACCAAGGCUCUGACGGGUAGCCGGCCUGGCAGGGUGACCGGCCACAUUGGGUCUGAGAUGCGGCCCAGACGCAUACGGGAGGAAGCAGUGGAGAAUAUUGCACAAUGGGCGGAAGAGUGAUGCAGCAACGCCGCGUGCGAGAUGACGGCCUUCGGGUUGUAAACCGCUUUCGCAUGUGACGAAGCGUAGGUGACGGUACUGGGUAAAGAAGCACAGGCUAAUUACGU